UACGAAGGGUGCAAACGUUGCUCGUAAUCAUUUGGCGUAAAGCGCACGUAGGCGGCUCACCAAGUCGGACGUGAAAUCCCUCAGCUCAACUGAGGACGUGCAUCCGAAACUGGCGAGCUUGAGUAUGGAAGAGGGUCGCGGAAUUCCCGGUGUAGAGGUGAAAUUCGUAGAUAUCGGGAGGAACACCAGAGGCGAAGGCGACUUCCGGGACAAUUGCUGACGCUCAGGCACGAAAGCAUGGGGAGCAAAAGGG
rnacentral:rRNA from 1 species